AGUAGUUUGAUCAGUGCUCAGGACGACGCUGGCGGCGUGCUUAACACAUGCAAGUCGAACGGAACCUUCGGGUUUAGUGGCGAACGGGUGAGUAAAGCACAGGUAAUCUGCCGCAAAGACGGGGACAACGUUCCGAAAGGGACGCUAAUACCGGAUGUUGUGCGGAGUUCGCAUGAACACUGCACCAAAGAUUUAUCGCUUUGCGAGGAGCCUGUGUCCGAUUAGGCAGUUGGCGGGGUAAGAGCCCACCAAACCGACGAUCGGUAGCCGGUCUGAGAGGAUGAACGGCCACAAUGGAACUGAGACACGGUCCAUACUCC
rnacentral:rRNA from 1 species